GACGAACGCUGGCGGCGUGCUUAACACAUGCAAGUCGAACGGAAAGGCCCUGCUUUUGUGGGGUGCUCGAGUGGCGAACGGGUGAGUAACACGUGAGUAACCUGCCCUUGACUUUGGGAUAACUUCAGGAAACUGGGGCUAAUACCGGAUAGGAGCUCCUGCUGCAUGGUGGGGGUUGGAAAGUUUCGGCGGUUGGGGAUGGACUCGCGGCUUAUCAGCUUGUUGGUGGGGUAGUGGCUUACCAAGGCUUUGACGGGUAGCCGGCCUGAGAGGGUGACCGGCCACAUUGGGACUGAGAUACGGCCCAGACUCCUACGGGAGGCAGAAGUGGGGAAUAUUGCACAAUGGGCGGAAGCCUGAUGCAGCAACGCCGCGUGCGGGAUGACGGCCUUCGGGUUGUAAACCGCUUUCGCCUGUGACGAGGCGUGAGUGACGGUAAUGGGUAAAGAAGCACCGGCUAACUACGUG
rnacentral:rRNA from 1 species